GAUGAACGCUGGCGGCGUGCCUAAUACAUGCAAGUCGAGCGAACGGACGAGAAGCUUGCUUCUCUGAUGUUAGCGGCGGACGGGUGAGUAACACGUGGAUAACCUACCUAUAAGACUGGGAUAACUUCGGGAAACCGGAGCUAAUACCGGAUAAUAUUUUGAACCGCAUGGUUCAAAAGUGAAAGACGGUCUUGCUGUCACUUAUAGAUGGAUCCGCGCUGCAUUAGCUAGUUGGUAAGGUAACGGCUUACCAAGGCAACGAUGCAUAGCCGACCUGAGAGGGUGAUCGGCCACACUGGAACUGAGACACGGCCCAGACUCCUACAGGAGGCAGCAGUAGGGAAUCUUCCGCAAUGGGCGAAAGCCUGACGGAGCAACGCCGCGUGAGUGAUGAAGGUCUUCGGAUCGUAAAACUCUGUUAUUAGGGAAGAACAUAUGUGUAAGUACCUGUGCACAUCUUGACGGUACCUAAUCAGAAAGCCACGGCUAACUACGUG
rnacentral:rRNA from 1 species